AUAGCUCUAUUCCCUGCACAGUGAUGAUGCAGAGAGAGCAGCAGAGCAGACGUGGGCCUUUUUUUAGUUCUUUUUCAAAUUGUUUUCAGAUUUGGGAAUUACGAUUUCUAAGAGAAAUAGUGCAGUGGCUCGCUGCCAUCUGAGAGAGCCGCAGAGGUGUGUUUAUUUAGACUUAAAAAGCACUUGAUCUGCUGCUCACCGUGACAGCAGGCAGUAAAUCUCAGUUCAGACCAGCUGGGGAGAGGCUGGGGAGACUGCGUGGAAAUUCUGAAUCGUCGACUGUCUUACAAGCAGUGGCGUUGUGUUAUAUGUUAUUUUGCAGGUAUAUGCAGAGAUUCAAGCAGUUUCCAGAGUCGUUGCCCAUCCUCCCCUCUUCUUCCCGGGAGGCCUCACCUGCACUCCCUUGACUUCUGGCUUCUAGUGGAAAACAGCAGACCCUGAAAGGAGGAGAUGCAGCUCUGCCUUUUCCUGGGUGUAGGGACAGCCUGUGUUGCAGCCUCGAAAACUUGAUCUUCCUGAAUAAUCGAUUAUCCAUUUAAAAGGAACGAAGGAGAGAUGCCAAGAGGGUGGAGCCUCCAUGUGGAUCAAGACCUUGAGCUGUGGAAUUUAACAGACCUGACUUCAAAACCUCGCUGGGUGAUCUUGGACAAGUUAUGUCACUUCUCUGAGCCUGUUUCUUCAGCUGCAACAUGGGAGUAAUAGAGCUGAGUAAACAGGAUGUGUACUGUUGGCAGUGCUUGGCGAUUCAGGUCCUGAAACCUCAGCCAGCUUUUGGUGGAGACUGCAAAUAUCACUCUGGAGAAGAUGUGAAUUACUGCUGGGUGGGGGAGCCCUUCCCUCGGUCUCCCGCCCCAUGCCUCUUUUGGAAAGCAGAGUGCUAGAUGAUUCUACGACAGCUUGCAUAAAGGGCACUGGACCUUCUGGGCGGGAAGGGACUAAGACCCUAACCCCUUGUCCCCAAGAAUCAAAGUUUAGAACGCUCUUCCGGAUGGCCCAGGGGACCCUAAGCAGGACCAGGGUGAUAGAGAUGCUGAAAUGAAAUUACCAAUAAGGUAGAAAGAGGUGUGGCCCAGAGGUGGUGGUGGGAGCGGCCCACAACCUGAGUUACUGACAAGCACAGAGUCCAGGUGUCUCUCGGUCCCCGAAGAAGGUGACCUGCUUUCCACCUGCCUCUACCCAGCCUUCGUGAGGGCAGAGUUGAACCUCAGAAGAAGCACCACUGAGGAAUGACCUAAAAGGGAACCCUGUCUCGUUUGGGGUGAGGUGCUUUUGGUUGAAUUUUAGCAUGAGGAGAGGCAGCCAGCAGAACCGUCUGGAAGCCCCCUGCCCCCAUGGAGUGGAAAUCAGGUGAGGGGAGCCCUUCGCUGGUGGAGGUGGGCACUGGACUUCCUGCUGGUCAGGGUGACUGGGCAGACAGCAUUCUGGGUUGACUGUUAUGUCAAGUACCAGUUACACAGAUCAAGUUCUAAGCCCGGGCCUGGCACAGAGAUGCUAGGUAGUUGUGAGUAUUGUUAUAUUAUUACCAAGACAGAUCUUGACGAAGCAAAGAAUGACCAUUUCAGGUGAGGGAAGGAGGGAGCUGGGAGGGUCACUACUCAUUCCAUGACCCGUGCUUGGUGUCCGCCUCCAGUGGCUGUCACCCCCGGCAGGGGUGGAAAUGGUAUGCAGAGUUUUCCCUGUACUUUGCCUCCAGUGGCUGUCACCCUGUUUUAUUGUCCAGAAGCGUGGUUGAGAGGGGUUUGGUAAUGUCCAACUCCUCAAAAUGUAAUAUUUAGAGUCUUAGAAUCUUGGAAGGAAUUUACAAGCCAUCUACCAGUGGUUACCAAACAUUUUAAAGUAGUAAAGCCAGUUUCCCUACUUGAAUAGUUUUAUAUGACAUGCUGAUAUGUAAAACACAGUGAAAUUUUGCUAAUAAGUUAUCUUUUUGAGUUGAAAUGUAUUCUGUUGACUUAUGUUAGCAUCAGUCAACUAGAAUAGUAAAACAAUUUUGACAAAUCCAAAAACUCCUAACUGGGGCUAUGGAAGCUGGUUUCAGUCUUCUAUCAGAUUUAGUCAGUAUCCAUAAAAUUCAAAUCAAAAUGCAAAUUAAAUCUCAGAAGUACCCGAUGAUAUUCAGCAUGGCUGUAAUCUAGUUCAUUGUAUUAGUCACAGCCCUAGCGGGAAAGAGUUUGCACUCUCAAAUUAGGAUGCUUCUGGAAGGCUUUAAACUUGCUAAAGCAUUUCCAAAGUACAGGCAGGGCUAGGAAACCAUACAGGAUGGUGUAAUACCCCAGGGCUAGUGACAGUGGUGUUGUUACCAUCAGAAGACCUGAGCGGUAAGCAGAGCGGAAGUUAUCAGAAGCUGGGAGAUGACUGUGUCGAGGGGGCUGCCGGGAGAGAGCAGAGACCUUCAGGAGAGGCACCUUGUCACUCCUAGGAGACCCUGCAGCCAAAAAGCAGGGGAUGAAUACUCAGUCUCACUCUCCUUCCUCCUUCUAACCUCUUCCGGGGUCUACCCAUUGGCAGACUCCAACCAGAAGCUAGAAAGCAAAGGAGACUUCGAUGUCAUUCCUACAAGUCAGCCUCCCAGGGCAGAAAGCAGGUUGGAGCAGGGUGGAGAGCAAACCCAGAGUUGCCAGUGGACACCAUGUAGGACACGUCUGCCCCUGCUUUUAAAGAUAGCAAGAACAAAGGCUCAGAGACUUUAGCUGACUUGCCCAAGGUCACUAGGUUAAGGACGAUGAGAAACUGAGACCUCCAAUCUCAGUUCAGCCCUAUUUCCACUAUCCUUUUUCAUCUCUCUAGUCCCAGGACAAUUUUUGAUUCAGGAAGGCUGAUAUCUGUCCCUUGGAUUUGUGGAUCUGGAGUUAAGGGGACAGGCUUAGCCUGGCCCAGUAAUUUCCUUUAUUGGGGUCAACUGUGUUUCACCGUUGCUGUGUGGCUUUUUGCAAGUCUAAAGACAGAUCACAGCUAUCUAGGGAAAUAGCACAGCAUGAAGCUCUUUGGAGCUUUUAUUCCUCCUCUCAGGUCAGCCACUUUCUCAGAAAGUGCAGGGAGAAGGUCAGCCAAACAACGUAAGGGAGCACGUGGAACAUGGGUACUAAUUCUGGCCUAGAAAUAUCCAAGAGGAUCUGUGUCUGUGGAAGCCGAACAGCUGCAGAGAGCGCUUGGAUCCCCGGUGACAUCUGUGCUAUAUUCAGCAUGCCUCCCAAAGCCUCCACCCUUGGCCCGAUUCUCGUAGAACAUUGGACCUCGCCUAAAGGGACAUGCUCAUCAAUGUGGUGGAUAACACCUGUUGCCUAGUCUUGUUCGCUAUGGUUUGGGGGGAAAUUGCGGUGAGGAUCCCCUGACCCAUUGGCAGUUUGAACUGGGUUAUGUGGGGUUGGUGUCUUGUGAUUUCUUUGAUUUAGUUGGACACUGUAGAUGAGCAAGCUUUGUGGUGAGUGAGGGCCAUUUACUUAUUGACGGAUGAGGGUGUAGCAGUCAACUCACAAAAAACCACACGACCCUGAGCAUCUCGGGUGUUCCCUUGUCUCGGGUAACCAUCACGUGGCUGUUCCCAGCCAACUUCACCAGACUUCCCCAGGAUGCAUUCUUGUCUCGUCUGGCAGUUGUACCCCUUCUCCAUAGUUGUUACUCCUCCCUGUAUUGUUGGUUGCCUCCUUCAGUUUAUGAAUGUUCUAUCUGUUAAAAAGCUGUUUCUCAGUUGUGGGUGACCGAGGUAUGUGGACAUAGCCUUUCUUUCAUGGAGUGUUUAGGACACUUGGGCAACCUUAGUAUCCCAGGCAACUGAGGGAUCAUUCUGUCCUUCUCUCCUUCUCUUCUGGAAGGGUAGCUCAGCUUCCUCUUCAUAGUUUUCAGGUUAAACAUCACCAGUCUGUGGCUUGGGCAAGGCUGGUUCUUAUCUGUGCAGUGAACACCGUUCACCUGCAGCUGUGCAUGGUUCUAAUAGGAUGGUGCCAUUCAGGAACCUCAUUUUAACCUAGAACUUUACUCAUUGUCCAGGAUUAUAGUGUGGUACUGCAGUAAACCAUUUAAAUUCUAAUGGAUUUGACCACUAACCAAGAAAGUAUCUCUGUAGUGAACAAUUUGGCUGUAUACGGAGGCUUCUUAGAUAUAAUCCAAGAGAAUUCUGAACCAUCCCCUUACAGAAGGCAUCACCAUAAGUUACUCCCAUAGGGUGAGCCUCCAAGGACAGCAUCAUUCCAAUGCUCAGUCCUAGCCAUGAUCUGGCCUAUGAUAAAGUCACACGGUGCAACAGUAAAACCAAACAUCAAGCAGAGUUUCACCGUCACAGCAGGCAUAUCAAGAGAAUCAAGGUCUUCUGCAUAUUGCUGUGGUUGAAGUGGGCUACUUGACCUUGUUUACAUAUGCCAGGGAAAGAAAAGGGUGACUAAGUCUGGAUCCCUGCUGUAAAAUACACAUUCUCUUACUUAAUUUAAAAAUAGUGAAAAAAAAAAGCUCAUUAAUAAUACAAUUAGCAUGCAGGUCUUCUUGCUGAUUCAUUCACCAUUCUUCAUUGCUAUGUAUGACACCUAAAAUCUAACGUGAUUCUGAUGAUGAAUAAAAAUGAGCCACUCUAUGCUAUAUUCACAUCUAUAUUUUGAGUAUCUUUUAUUUAUUUUCUUCUGCUAAGACCCUUAAGCAAAUGCCUUAUUUACACUUAAAGGCACACGUUUUCUCUCUCAUCUUUUCCAAAUUAGCAAGUGCUACAUAGUACAUUGUUAAUAGGAGAUCUGACCUAUCUAUUCAGUUAAGUUGUAAUUUUAUUAUAUAGAUUGGGACUUAGGAAUAGAUUUUUAAUUGUUUGGUAUGUAUUAAUUGUUCAGUGAUUUUUUUUAUUAAAAAGACAUAUUCCAUAGUUACUAAGUAGCCUCUCUAGCUCAGUUGAAUUUAAUAAAAACUAAAAAAUAAACCUUCCAUUUUAACGACUUUCAGAUUUAAAGAAAAAUUAUGAAGACAGUACAGAGAGUUCCCAUAUACCCUACUCUCAAUUUCUCCUAUUAUUAACAUGGUACAUCAGUAUGAUACAGUUGUUACAGUUGACAAACUGUAUUUGAUAUUAACAACUAAAAUCUAUACUUUAUUCAGAUAUCCUUAGUUUUUACCUAAUGCCAUUUUUUGGGGCUUACCUAGGAUACCACAUUACAUUUAGUCAUCUAGUCUCCUCAGGCUCCACGUGGCUGGGAUAGAUUUUUCUCAUUUUUGAUUAGAUGAGGUUUUGAAGAGUACUUGAUGGUUUUGAGGAUUACUGGUCAGAUAUUUUGUAGAACUGGUAUCCUAAUGAUGUUUUCAUGAUGAGACUAGGAUUACGGGUCUCUGGGAGGAAGGCCCCAGAGGUAACGUGUCAUUCUCAUCACGUCAAGGGUGCAUAUCAUCAACAUGAGUAGUAAUGGCUGAUGUUGACUUGAUCACUUGGACGGUUAAGCACUUAGAAGCAUGAUGGUGGGUAUGGUAAGACCGUGUUUGGCUUUGCAAGAAACAGCCCAACUGUCUUCCAAAGUGGCUGUACCGUUGCCAACAAAAACCACAACGAGAUAUCACUUCUAAAAAAUCUAAAAAA